UACGAAGGGUGCAAGCGUUACUCGGAAUUACUGGGCGUAAAGCGUGCGUAGGUGGUUUGUUAAGUCUGAUGUGAAAGCCCUGGGCUCAACCUGGGAAUGGCAUUGGAAACUGGCGGCCUAGAGUGCGGUAGAGGGUAGUGGAAUUCCCGGUGUAGCAGUGAAAUGCGUAGAGAUCGGGAGGAACAUCCGUGGCGAAGGCGACUACCUGGACCGGCACUGACACUGAGGCACGAAAGCGUGGGGAGCAAACAGG
rnacentral:rRNA from 1 species